GACGUAGGGCGCGAGCGUUGUCCGGAUUUAUUGGGCGUAAAGAGCUCGUAGGCGGCUCGUUGCGUCGGCUGUGAAAACCCGCAGCUCAACUGUGGGCUUGCAGCUGAUACGGGCGGGCUGGGAUUCGGUAGGGGAGACUGGAAUUCCUGGUGUAGCGGUGAAAUGCGCAGAUAUCAGGAGGAGCACCGGUGGCGAAGGCGGGUCUCUGGGCCGAUACUGACGCUGAGGCACGAAAGCGUGGGGAGCGAACAGG
rnacentral:rRNA from 1 species